rnacentral:tRNA from 1 species
UCCUUGGUGGUCCAGCGGCUAAGACUCCAAGUUCUCAAUUCAGUGGGCCUGGGUUCGAUCCCUGGUCAGGGAA